rnacentral:rRNA from 1 species
CACGUAGGGCGCAAGCGUUGUCCGGAAUUAUUGGGCGUAAAGAGCUCGUAGGCGGUCUGUUGCGUCCGCUGUGAAAACUCGGGGCUUAACCCCGAGCCUGCAGUGGAUACGGGCAGACUAGAGGUAGGUAGGGGAGAAUGGAAUUCCCGGUGUAGCGGUGAAAUGCGCAGAUAUCGGGAGGAACACCGGUGGCGAAGGCGGUUCUCUGGACCAGCACUGACACUGAGGCACGAAAGCGUGGGGAGCAAACAGG